rnacentral:lncRNA from 1 species
ACCUCUGCCUUUAGAAGCUUCAACACCUCAGAAAUCCCAGAUAGGCGUGGUACUUUUGCCUGAAAUAGAGGGCGGCCAUUUGGGAUUCAUGCCUUUUAUGGAAUCUUUACGGAAUCUACAAUAAAUUUAUUUUACGAGAUUACCUGCCUGGUGUGACUCUCAUCAGAAGAAGGAAUGAAGAAAAAAAGCAAAGAAGAGAAAAAGCAAAGACAUGGAGCAGGUCUUAGGCUCCUGAGCUCCUCAGCUCAGCUGGGGAUACAUUUCCCUGGCUGUAAUGCCUCUGCUGAGGAGACUUCCUUUCAAAGCUAUGUGGUUCUUGACCUCCCAUGUCUCAGGAUGCCUUUCCACUGGGAUACAUUUUCCCUAUGGCUCCUAGGCUUCCUAGUUCCAGGAUACCCACCUAUACAUGACAUGCCUACACUAUUUA